UACAGAGGUCCCAAGCGUUGUUCGGAUUCACUGGGCGUAAAGGGUGCGUAGGUGGUUGGAUAAGUUUGAUGUGAAAUCUCGGAGCUUAACUCCGAAACUGCAUUGAAUACUAUCUAGCUUGAGGGUUGGAGGGGGGACUGGAAUUCUCGGUGUAGCAGUGAAAUGCGUAGAUAUCGAGAGGAACACCAGUGGCGAAGGCGAGUCCCUGGACAACUCCUGACACUGAGGCACGAAAGCUAGGGGAGCAAACAGG
rnacentral:rRNA from 1 species